AGAGUGGUAGUUCAGUUGGUUAGAAUACCGAGCUGUCCCGCCCGGGGGGGGGAGCGGGUUCGAGUCCCGUCCACUCCACUA
rnacentral:tRNA from 1 species